UGCGAAGGGGGCUAGCGUUGUUCGGAAUUACUGGGCGUAAAGGGCGCGUAGGCGGUACUUCAAGUCAGGCGUGAAAGCCCCGGGCUCAACCUGGGAACCGCGCUUGAGACUGGAGAACUAGAGUUCGGGAGAGGAUGGUGGAAUUCCCAGUGUAGAGGUGAAAUUCGUAGAUAUUGGGAAGAACACCGAUGGCGAAGGCAGCCAUCUGGACCGACACUGACGCUGAGGCGCGAAAGCGUGGGGAGCAAACAGG
rnacentral:rRNA from 1 species